rfam:Eucalyptus grandis cultivar BRASTZ1 unplaced genomic scaffold scaffold_6, whole genome shotgun sequence.
GGGUGCGAUCAUACCAGCACUAAUGCACCGGAUCCCAUCAGAACUCCGAAGUUAAGCGUGCUUGCGCAAGAGUAGUACUAGGAUGGGUGACCUCCUGGGAAGUGCUUGUGUUGCACCCC